rnacentral:rRNA from 1 species
UACGGGGGGGGCAAGCGUUGUUCGGAAUUACUGGGCGUAAAGGGCUCGUAGGUGGCCAACUAAGUCAAUCGUGAAAUCCCUCGGCUUAACCGGGGAACUGCGCUUGAUACUGGAUGGCUUGAGUUUGGGAGAGGGAUGCGGAAUUCCAGGUGUAGCGGUGAAAUGCGUAGAUAUCUGGAGGAACACCGGUGGCGAAGGCGGCAUCCUGGACCGGCAUUGACGCUGAGGAGCGAAAGCCAGGGGAGCAAACGGG